UACGUAGGGUGCAAGCGUUGUCCGGAAUUAUUGGGCGUAAAGCGCACGUAGGCGGUUCGUUAUGCCGGAUGUGAAAGCCCUUGGCUUAACCGAGGAAGUGCAUCCGAAACUGGCGAGCUAGAGUACGAAAGAGGAUCGCGGAAUUCCCGGUGUAGAGGUGAAAUUCGUAGAUAUCGGGAGGAACACCGGUGGCGAAGGCGGCGAUCUGGGUCGAUACUGACGCUGAGGUGCGAAAGCGUGGGGAGCAAACAGG
rnacentral:rRNA from 1 species